rnacentral:lncRNA from 1 species
AUGAGUGACACCCACCCCGUUCCCCCAGUGGAGAAGACCCAGGCCACCUUCCCCAUCCUCUGGGACUCUGGCUUCCUGUGCAUGGGCCACAGCCGCAGUGGCACGCGGCUGGCCAUGGUGGUGUCACUGGACCUCAACGCCACCAGCCAAGUGAUGGCUGUGCAACUCCAGACCAUGCUCCUGGAGAAGAGCCGAGUGGUACAGCCACAGAAGCGGAAGGUGCUUCCCCCAUCUUCUCCCAGACUUGGGCUCUCCUCUGUCCUCCCUGAAACCGGACCCCUCAGGAGUGCCUAA